AGAUGUGAGAGCAUUCUGGCUGAGACAUUUGCUGCCCCUUUGUUCGUCAGCACUGACUCGGCUGAGCUGACUGAGGAGGCAGAUGUCCCCUUCCUUCCUCACUGCUCUCUCUGCGCACCCUGCCCCCCAACCCCCUGGAGCUGCACACAUGGAGACACUGGCAAACAAACAGGAAGGGAAGCCAUGAUCUGGAGCAAAAUUGUCUAGGGUAAGAGGGUAGCCGGGAAUUGGGACUAAGAACUAGGAAACUCUAACGUUGAGGGGCCAAGUGGUGAGGGCUGAGCCUAAAAGGAGGCAGAAAAAUAGAU
rfam:Homo sapiens chromosome 12, GRCh38 reference primary assembly.